rnacentral:rRNA from 1 species
CCUACCGGUCAUAGCGCGCGAGGAAAUACCCGGACCCAUUCCGAACCCGGAAGUCAAGCUCGUGCGCGUGGGCGGUUCGGUGGGGCACAAAGUCCCGCAGGGCCCCCUUGCUGGUAGGC